rnacentral:rRNA from 1 species
UACGGGGGGAGCAAGCGUUGUUCGGAUUUACUGGGCGUAAAGGGCGCGUAGGCGGCGUGACAAGUCACUUGUGAAAUCUCCGGGCUUAACCCGGAGCGGCCAAGUGAUACUGUCGUGCUAGAGUGCGGAAGGGGCUACUGGAAUUCUCGGUGUAGCGGUGAAAUGCGUAGAUAUCGAGAGGAACACCUGCGGCGAAGGCGGGUCUCUGGGCAACAACUGACGCUGAGGAGCGAAAGCGUGGGGAGCGAACAGG